AUGAAAAACAAGAAGGAUUCAACAGAUACCACUUCUAUUUUACUGAAACAAAAAGGCCAAGAUCAAGGGGCUACUUCCAUUCCACCAUUUGAACCUCCAGGACCUGGGAGCUAUGAACAUCUAUUGACUGGCACAGGAGAAUCUAAACCAGAUGCUCUUGCAGGGAAACAGGAAGCCAGUGCAGAUUGUCAAGAUGUUAUUUCUAUGACAGCCAACCGGCUAAGUGCUGUCAUUCAAGCUUUUUACAUGUGCUGCUCCUGUCAGAUGCCUCCAGGGUUUUUCACCUCCUGUAAGAACCAUCAUCUGAAAUGGCACUGAGGCAGAUCAGCUGACGGUUAGAAGACACUGACUUUGAAAUACUUUAUGACAGAAAAAAAAUUUGCAAAUUUGAAGGUAACUUUUCCUGAGGUGCUCAAUACCUACCGAUAGGAGCUGGUAGUGAGGCAAUAUCUUGGAAUAGUUUUUACUUAAAAUUGUAUGUGUUCCUACCACGCGUAGGGGCAACUUUUC
rnacentral:lncRNA from 1 species